GGCGACUGGUAUUCCGACGCCAGCUCUCGACGGAGCUAAUGUUUUCUCAUCCACCCAUCCUUUAAAAACCUGUCCGAAUCCACCUUCUCCGAUCACAGAUUCUGGUCGAAAGUUCUUUGUAGCCGUCUUAAGCUCCACUAAUGUAAACAUCUUUAGAUUAGGUGUCACUAUCUUCCCACUCGGUGGCACUGCUUUCCUUCCUAAACCCAAUUUUUCUACCGGCUUUGACGGCGGAUUAUCGACGGGUCUCGUCUUCUCCUGAGGUGGGGUUUCAACGGAUCUUGUUUUCUC